rnacentral:rRNA from 1 species
CCUACGGGAGGCAACAGUAGGGAAUCUUUCACAAUGGGCGAAAGCCUGAUGGAGCAACGCCGCGUGCAGGAUGAAGGCCUUCGGGUUGUAAACUGCUUUUAUAAGCGAGAAAUAUGAUGGUAACUUAUGAAUAAGGAUCGGCUAACUACGUGCCAGCAGCCGCGGUCAUACGUAGGAUCCGAGCAUUAUCCGGAGUGACUGGGUGUAAAGAGUUGCGUAGGUGGCAUAAUAAGUAGCUAGUGAAAUCUGGUGGCUCAACCAUUCAGACUAUUAGCUAAACUGUUAAGCUCGAGACCGUUAGGGGUAACUGGAAUUUCUAGUGUAGGAGUGAAAUCCGUAGAUAUUAGAAGGAACACCAAUAGCGUAGGCAGGUUGCUGGGACGGUUCUGACACUAAGGCACGAAAGCGUAGGGAGCAAACGGGAUUAGAUACCCCAGUAGUC